rnacentral:rRNA from 1 species
AGUCGAGCGGAGAUGAGGUGCUUGCACCUUAUCUUAGCGGCGGACGGGUGAGUAAUGCUUAGGAAUCUGCCUAUUAGUGGGGGACAACAUUCCGAAAGGAAUGCUAAUACCGCAUACGUCCUACGGGAGAAAGCAGGGGAUCUUCGGACCUUGCGCUAAUAGAUGAGCCUAAGUCGGAUUAGCUAGUUGGUGGGGUAAAGGCCUACCAAGGCGACGAUCUGUAGCGGGUCUGAGAGGAUGAUCCGCCACACUGGGACUGAGACACGGCCCAGACUCCUACGGGAGGCAGCAGUGGGGAAUAUUGGACAAUGGGGGGAACCCUGAUCCAGCCAUGCCGCGUGUGUGAAGAAGGCCUUAUGGUUGUAAAGCACUUUAAGCGAGGAGGAGGCUACUGAGACUAAUACUCUUGGAUAGUGGACGUUACUCGCAGAAUAAGCACCGGCUAACUCUGUGCCAGCA